rnacentral:rRNA from 1 species
AGAGUUUGAUCAUGGCUCAGAAUCAACCUGGCGGNNNGCCUAACACAUGCAAGUCGAACGAGAAAGCAGGAGCAAUCUUGUGAGUAAAGUGGCGUACGGGUGAGUAACACGUGGAUCAUCUACCCUCUUGUGGGGGAUAACUCUGGGAAACCGGAGCUAAUACCGCAUAAGUCCGAGAGGAGAAAGCAGCAAUGCGCAGGAGGAGGAGUCCGCGGCCGAUUAGCUAGUUGGUAGGGUAAAAGCCUACCAAGGCUACGAUCGGUAGCCGGCCUGAGAGGGCACACGGCCACACUGGCACUGAAACACGGGCCAGACUCCUACGGGAGGCAGCAGUGGGGAAUCUUGCACAAUGGGGGCAACCCUGAUGCAGCGACGCCGCGUGAGCGAUGAAGCCCUUCGGGGUGUAAAGCUCUUUCGGCAGGGAAGAUUAUGACGGUACCUGCAGAAGCAGCUGCGGCUAACUACGUGCCAGCAGCCGCGGUAAUACGUAGGCAGCAAGCGUUGUUCGGAGUUACUGGGCGUAAAGGGUGUGUAGGCGGUCUUCUAAGUUUGGUGUGAAAUCUCCCGGCUCAACUGGGAGGGUGCGCCGAAAACUGGGAGGCUAGAGUGCGGGAUGGGAGAGUGGAAUUCCUGGUGUAGCGGUGAAAUGCGUAGAUAUCAGGAGGAACACCUGUGGUGUAGACGGCUCUCUGGACCGCAACUGACGCUGAGACACGAAAGCGUGGGUAGCAAACAGGAUUAGAUACCCUAGUAGUCC